GAUGAACGCUGGCGGCGUGCCUAAUACAUGCAAGUCGAGCGAACAGACGAGGAGCUUGCUCCUCUGACGUUAGCGGCGGACGGGCGAGUAACAAGUGGAUCACCUUCCUCUAUGACUUGGAUAAUUUCGGGAAAACGGAGCUAAUAACGGCUCAUAUAUUGAACCGCAUGGAUCAAUAGAGAAUGGCGGCUUUGCUGUCACUUAUAGAUGGUUCCGGGCCGCAUUAGCUAGUUGGUAAGGUAACGGCUUACCAAGGCAACGUUGCGUAGCCGACCUGAGAGGGUGAUCAGCCACACUGGAACUGAGACACGGUCCAGACUCCUACGGGAGGCAGCAGUAGGGAAUCUUCCGCAAAGGGCGAAAGCCUGACGGAGCAACGCCGCGUGAGUGAUGAAGGUCUUCGGAUCGUAAAACUCUGUUAUUAGGGAAGAACAAAUGUGUAAGUAACUAUGCACGUCUUGACGGUACCUAAUCAGAAAGCCACGGCUAACUACGUG
rnacentral:rRNA from 1 species